rnacentral:rRNA from 1 species
UACGUAGGGGCAAGCGUUGUCCGGAUUUAUUGGGCGUAAAGAGCGUGUAGGCGGCCAAGCAGGUCCGCUGUGAAAACUCGAGGCUCAACCUCGAGACGUCGGUGGAAACCGUUUGGCUAGAGUCCGGAAGAGGAGAGUGGAAUUCCCGGUGUAGCGGUGAAAUGCGCAGAUAUCGGGAAGAACACCCGUGGCGAAGGCGGCUCUCUGGGACGGUACUGACGCUGAGACGCGAAAGCGUGGGGAGCGAACAGG